rnacentral:rRNA from 1 species
AUUGAACGCUAGCGGGAUGCUUUACACAUGCAAGUCGAACGAGAGGCGGACGGGUGAGUAAUAUAUCGGAACGUUCCCAGUAGCGGGGGAUAACUACUCGACAGUGUUGCUACUACCGCAUCCUAUUGGAGCGGCCGAUAUCGGAUGAGCUAGUUGGUGGGGUAAAGGCUCACCAAGGCAACGAUCCGUAGCUGGUUUGAGAGGACGCACAGCCACACUGGGACUGAGACACGGCCCAGACUCCUACGGGAGGCAGCAGGGGGGAAUUUUGGACAAUGGGGGAAACCCUGAUCCAGCCAUCCCGCGUGUAUGAGAAGGCCCUAGGGUUGUAAAGUACUUUCAGUCGGGAGGCGUUACCGACAGAAGAAGCACCGGCUAACUCCGUGCCAGCAGCCGCGGUAAUAC